GAGAUGGAGAGGCCAAGACUUGCUCUUAUCGCACUCAUGUUUUUACUGUUUCAUCAGAAAUUAAUCUUUGGAGAAGAAGUGGAGAUGAAAGUCAGACCAGGAGACAACAUCACUCUCUACUGUGAUCGCUCUGUAACUCUUGGUUCUGUUGUUGUAUGGAUAAGAAACUGCUCUCAUGAAAGUCAACCUUCUCUCAUAAUAGAUUAUAAGAAACUGGAACUGGAGAUAUUUCAGCGAUUCAGCUUUAUCCACAACACCUAUAAUAAUUCUCAUGAUCUACAUAUCACUAAUAUCAGUGUCUCUGAUCUGGGACUGUACUACUGUGCAAAAGUAGAGAAAAAGGUAAAUCAAGAUGAAAAAGGCAUCCUCUCCCGGUCUGAGGUGUACUAUAAUGGAAACCAAACAACUCGUCUCUCUCUGGAAUUGACUUCCUGUUCUAAACCCUCUGCACCUCCUGACUGUCUGCUUUGCUGGACGCUGUUGUUCAGUGUGUGUCCGGUGUUUCUUCUCCUCUCCUCCAUAUGUGUGGUCUGCUUCUGUUAUGCUGCGACAGAUCAGACAGAUAAGUUAAAAGGUAGAAAUACAGCUGAGUGCGUGGAUGAAGAGGUGUGUUAUGCAUCUUUAGAUGUGAUUACCAAGAGACAGAAACAACGCAAGACAAAGCGAGUGCAGAGUUCUGACUUCAGUACUUACGCUCAGGUCAGAACACAAACUGAAUAGACCUAAAACAGAACUGAGGUGGAUUCUGAAAAUUUCCAAACAUAAGAAAAGUUGCAGGUUUCAUUGUCAUGUAACAUCACAUCUAAUCAUACAAGGUAGAGGACUUUUUACUAUUACAUUUGAAUGUAAAAUAUGUAAUUCCAAACUUGGAUACUUUUUUCACAUGAUUUUUUUUUAUCAUCUAAUAAAUUCAAACACGUAAUUUUGUUAUUCUGGUACUGUUGGAGUGCAAGGGUUUUUGUUUUUUUACCUCUAAUAAAAGUGCUUUAGUACAGUCUUUGUGGACACACAGUGAUGAUCUAAAUAACAGGAUGUGGUUUCCUUUGUGAAGUGAUGCUUAUUUUAAAGUGUUUAUUUCUCUUAAACUGAAUGACUGCAAAAUUUAUCUAACCCAGUUUUUCAAUUUAGCCCAAUUUCCAUAAAGCACACUCCAUGCUGAUUAGGAAAGUGUGUUUGGAUAACAGCUUGUGACAAGCAAACAGACUUAAAUUCUUAAAACUUAAAAAAAGAAAAAAAUUCAGAUGCCCACUUUAGAUCCUUCUCAUUAGUAAUAUACAUUCAUUUUCUUAUUUUUAUUUAUUUCCUUUAGAAAUGUGCAUUAGAUCUGUCUGGUUGCUAAUUGUGCAUAAUUUUUUGGAAUAGUUAAAUCAAAUUAAAAUAAAAGCAAAUUUGAAUCAAA
ensembl:lncRNA